UACGUAGGGUGCAAGCGUUACUCGGAAUUACUGGGCGUAAAGCGUGCGCAGGCGGUGAUGUAAGACAGUUGUGAAAUCCCCGGGCUCAACCUGGGAACUGCAUCUGUGACUGCAUCGCCGGAGUGCGGCAGAGGGGGAUGGAAUUCCGCGUGUAGCAGUGAAAUGCGUAGAUAUGCGGAGGAACACCGAUGGCGAAGGCAAUCCCCUGGGCCUGCACUGACGCUCAUGCACGAAAGCGUGGGGAGCAAACAGG
rnacentral:rRNA from 1 species